GCAUCAGGAAGUUUAGAAGUUUCCUCAAUGGCCUUGUCCAUGCCUUGGCUGGAGAACACAUUUCAUCACUGCAAUUGUGCAUUUCCACACCUUUUAUCCAGGAUUAUUUGAAUUUGCUGCAUAGAUUUUAAAAUUCUUCUAGAAUACAACUGAAGGUAAGAAACAUGGCAAGUGAAAUCACUGUGAAUGACAUCUAGUAAACAUGGAUACCUGAGUAUAUUAAACACAACUCACCACUGAUUUUCACAGUUUGCACUGUAAAUUUAGUGGGAUAAGGAGACUUAAAACCUUCUUCUCCUGGGAAGAUCGGUCUAUUGCGGGUCAAGUGAAGUUUCUUUAUUUUUUUUCUUUUGGAGACAGUCUCACUCUGUCACCCAGGAUGGAGUGCAGUGGCAUCAUCUCGGCUCAAUGCAACCUCCGCCUCCCGGAUUCAAGUGAUUCUCAUGACUCUGUCUCCCAAGUAGCUGGAAUUACAGACCUGUGCCAACAAGCUCAGCUAAUUUUUAAUUUUUUUUUUUUUUUUUUUACUGGAGAGGUGGUUUCACUAUGUUGGCCAAGCUGGUAUCAAACUACUGGCCUCAAGUGAGUCGCCUGCCUCGACCUCUCAAAGUGCUGGGGUUACAGGCCUGAGGCAGGGUGCCUGGCCAAAAGGGAGAAGCAACCACGAAGGGAUGAAUUUUUCCUUCUGUUUUCUUCUUGCCAUUUUGAGUGGCAAACUCUAGCUUCUCUAGAGAAUGAAUGCAUUAUACGAGGAAUACUGGUCUGUGACCUCAAUGCCUGGUUAAGUAAGUCAACAGUCGAUGCUUUAAAAAAUUGGUUGAAUUCAUGUAGAGAAAAUGUAGAUUUAAGGUUAACUUGUGAGCUCAGUGAGUGAAAGAAGACUAGGCCAUUGAGUUUUGUUUCAGACUGGAACAUAUUUCUGACUUUGUCUAAAACAAUAAAACAAAAUCCUUAAUCUCAGAUCAUUAAGAGAAUACAUUGAGGCUAAGCCCAAAAGUUGUGACUAACAAUGUAAUCGUAGUUCUCCCCACUCCACGGAUCUAUCACAUAUGCAGCACCAAGUAUAGUAAGCAAUUUAUAACAAUUCAAGUGUGCUGAGUUAGCCAUAUCUUUCUAUCUGCUUUCACAAGAUGUAGGACUGAUGUUAGUCACAUUAUUGAAUAUUUGACAUUUGACAACUCAGUGCACUGGCCAGUGCAGGAUAGAAGAUGAAGAAUAAUCAAUUUCUGCAUCAAAUAGUUAUUUUAUAAAUGUCUGUUGUAUAUCCAACACUUUUCUACAUUUAACUAAAUAAUUGUAAAAUAGAAACAGAAAAAAUAAACCAUAUUCUCUGUAAGAAAAAAAUGUUGUAAAGGUUUAAGGAACUAUAUUAGCUAGUGUUUUUUAGUAUAAGUUUUACAAAUAGAUAUAAUUGUGAGUUAUUCAGAGUGUGAAAUUUUUCUCAAAGAAACAAA
rnacentral:lncRNA from 1 species